UACGAUGUUGUAUUAGUUUCAGGUGUACAGCAAAGUGAAUCUGUUAUAGAAAUACAUACACUCUUUUUUUAGAUUCUUUUCCUAGAUAGGCCGUAACGGAGUAUUGACCAGAACAGCCUCUUUGGAUGGCAGUUCCUCUUACCAGACUUUAUUCUUUGGGUGUACAGGCAGAGGCCUGAAGGGCGAGGAUACAUUCUGACAUGUUAAUGAUAGCAAGAGAUUGGAAACACCCUAAAAUGAUAAUCAGAAAUUACUUGGAUGGCAAGCUUUACUCUGCUUGUUAGAUUUGACAAUUUAGAGUUGACACUUAUUACUUCUAGUGUAUUAAUAAUGCUUUAGCUUGAAAAAUGGGACUUGUGCUUAGAUGGCCACCUAAUGACUGGUUAACAUUUAUCACAUUUAUAUGAAAUGGAAUACUCUGGCUGUUAAGGAGGAAAAUAUACAUAUAUCAUUAGGGAACAUGUACAAAUAAGUUAAUAGUUUGUGAAAUGUAUGUAGAAUAAGUUCAUUUUUACAAAGCAAACAUAUAAGAAUAGAAGAAAACUGGUAGCAUGUGUAUAGCAAAUAUUAAAAGUGUUCAGCUCUGUGAGAAUAUGAGGAAUCCUCACUUUUUAUAUUAUGUAUUUCCAUGAUGCUUGAAUUUAAGAGAAAACCAAUACAUAUGUUUUAAAAUGUGGUUGUGGAGGCCACGUACUAGCUUAUUGAAGAUUGCUUCCUAAUUAAGUGCUACUCAGAGUUUGCCGGUUUCAAACUUUAUUCAAACUUUAUUUCAAACUUUAUUGCCACUUGGCAACAAGGGAAGUAAGGAAACACAGUGUUUAGAAACUCUUAAAGCAAUUGGGCAUCUCCUGGACCUACAAGAGUGUGAUCAGUGGAGAAUUCUUGUCGAAUGGGGUAUAGACCAGUUCAGGUUGUUGAACUUGUCCGGUAAGUUGCAUGUGAACUAGUCACAGGAAGUAGCAGAAGUAGCACCACAUGUCAUGAUGAAUGAGGUUAAGGAACAAACCAAAAUCAAAAAAACCGGACCUCCUUCACAGAGAGGUGGAGAAGCACUCCCACGUUCCUUUAACGUCACCUGGCAGUGUGCUGUUCUAAAAUAGAUACUUGCAUCUCUCAUUUUCUUUUUACUGUGUGUAUUGUGCAGUGAGGGGCAUGGCAUCAACCCCAGACUCUAAGCGUGUUAUAAGAAGCAGUCAAGAGUGAUGUCAGAGAAAAUCGCUUUCUCCAAGAUCUCCAAAAAUCUCCAUAAAAAUCAUGAGAAAACUGACAAAAAUAUGGUCAGAAUCAACUUUUUUCAGAACUCUGGAAAUUAACCAAAGGCUUACAGUAAUCCAGGGAGUAUUUACAUAAAACAAAUUUAAAACAAUCUUUUUUUAAGAACAGCAGCUUUGUAAUGUUUUUAACUUGCCCUAUUCUUUUCUCAUCUCUCCCCGCCACCUUUCCAGCUCCACUGUAAGCCUUGAAAACCAAUGUAAUAGGGAAGAACCUUUGUAUUCUAUUACAAGCUAAUCACUAAAGGGAUGUUGCCUGUAAGCUUAAAUGAUACACAACGGCCCAUCUCAGGGAACCCUGCCUCCCAGGUAAUGAGCAUUAAGCUAAAAUACCUGUGUUUAGCUCACAGGGAACAUCCUGACCAGGCCCAUCUGUGCAGGACUGCAGGGAGGAAGGAAUUAACACAUCGCCUCAGGGGCUGAUGGAAACCAGAAGUGCUUGACGCUACUCCCUCCGCUGUUAGUGUAAAAGGAGCCUGAAUUUUAACUCAGGCAAGAUGGUUCUUUGGGACGUGAGGCCGCCAUCUUCUUGGGCUGCUGGAUUUCUGAAUAAAGUCACUCUUCCUCGCCCCAGCAACUCAUUUCUUGACUUAUUGGCCUGUAGUGUGGUGAGCAGCACGAGCUUGGACUCUUAACAAAUUUGGGCGCAGCCAGCCAGGAGCCUUGCUACUUGUGGCUAGCCAGCCCUGGUUGGGGAAUUUGGGGUAAGGCCCUAGCAGCUGCCGGGACAGCUUGUCCUGAGGAUCUUUACCUUCAAAAUUCCCCAAAGUGGCACCGGCUUCCCCAGAGCUUGGCAGUUGGAGCAACAAAUCGACGUUUGGGAGCCAACAAGCUCCGUACAGUAGGGAUUAACUCCCAGAGGUGAUGUUAUUAUAAGUGUCAAAGGGCAGGAACUCUUUAAUAAGUCUUUUGCAUUGUCAUCAGAAUAAAGGUACAACUGCUUCACAACAGACAUGGAAAAUCUUAUCAGCUUCUGGAGUUGUCGGUCCAUUGGCACCUUCAGCAAUGAUCUGCAAGAAAGUCACGAACAUAGAGAAAUGCCAAUAACACCGUCAAAUCCCCUCCAGCUGAGCUCAAGAGAUGUGUGGGGGAUGGGGCUGUGGGAGAGAAGCAAAAUCCCACUUUAAAUUGUAUGCUUGGGGACUUGUAUGGCCAAAAAGUUUAUUUGGGUUUUUCCAUAAGAUGGUAGCGAACCCGAACGAACACUUUGGCCAACCCAAUACAUCCUAAUAAAGCUGUUUUCUUUUUUUAAAAAAAGAGGAAACCCAUUAGAGCUUUUCUAUGA